rnacentral:rRNA from 1 species
GUCGAACGGCAGCACGGGGGAGCUUGCUCCCUGGGUGGCGAGUGGCGGACGGGUGAGGAAUACGUGGGAAUCUGCCCAGGUCGUGGGGGAUAACGUAGGGAAACUUACGCUAAUACCGCAUGCGCCCUUCGGGGGAAAGCCGGGGACCUUCGGGCCUGGCGCGAUUGGAUGAGCCCACGUCGGAUUAGCUUGUUGGCGGGGUAACGGCCCACCAAGGCGACGAUCCGUAGCUGGUCUGAGAGGAUGAUCAGCCACACUGGAACUGAGACACGGUCCAGACUCCUACGGGAGGCAGCAGUAGGGAAUAUUGGACAAUGGGCGCAAGCCUGAUCCAGCCAUGCCGCGUGAGUGAAGAAGGCCCUCGGGUUGUAAAGCUCUUUUGUCCGGAAAGAAAAGCACCCGGUUAAUACCUGGGUGUCCUGACGGUACCGGAAGAAUAAGCACCGGCUAACUUCGUGCCAGCAGCCGCGGUAAUACGAAGGGUGCAAGCGUUACUCGGAAUUACUGGGCGUAAAGCGUGCGUAGGUG